rnacentral:rRNA from 1 species
AACGAACGCUGGCGGCAGGCCUAACACAUGCAAGUCGAACGCCGUAGCGAUACGGAGUGGCAGACGGGUGAGUAACGCGUGGGAACAUACCCCUCGGUUCGGAAUAACUCAGGGAAACUUGAGCUAAUACCGGAUACGUCCAAGGUUUUAAUCGACCUUGGAGAAAGAUUUAUCGCCGGAGGAUUGGCCCGCGUCUGAUUAGCUUGUUGGUGAGGUAAUGGCUCACCAAGGCGACGANCAGUAGCUGGUCUGAGAGGAUGAUCAGCCACAUUGGGACUGAGACACGGCCCAAACUCCUACGGGAGGCAGCAGUGGGGAAUAUUGGACAAUGGGCGAAAGCCUGAUCCAGCCAUGCCGCGUGAGUGAUGAAGGCCUUAGGGUUGUAAAGCUC